rnacentral:RNase_P_RNA from 1 species
GGAGAGCUCCAGGCGGUCGCCGCCCGGCGUACCGGGGGGAGGAAAGUCCGAACUCCAACGGGCAGCAUGCUCGCUAACGGCGAGGCGCGGCAACGCGACGGAAAGUGCAACAGAGAGCAGACCGCCUGGGCUCUCGGAGGCGACUUCGGGAGGUCAGGUAAGGGUGAAAGGGUGCGGUAAGAGCGCACCGCUCCGCCGGCGACGGUCGGAGGCUAGGCAAACCCCAUGCGGAGCAAGACCAAAUAGGGAGGUGGAGUCGCGGGCCGCUCGUCCCGCCCGAGGAAACUCGGCUGCCUCCGGGUAGGUUGCUCGAGGUCGGCGGCAACGUCGAUCCUAGAGGAAUGACCGCACCCCCGCUCGCGGGGGAACAGAAUUCGGCUUACGGAGCUCUCCAGCA